rnacentral:rRNA from 1 species
GUCCGCAAGGACAUGGCAGACGGCUGCGUAACACGUUGGAACCUACCCCGAACUCAGGGAUGACCCUCCGAAAGGAGGGCUAAUACCGGAUAGUCCCGAAAGGGUAAAGAUUUUUCGGUUCGGGAGGGGCCUGCGGCCUAUCAGUUAGUUGGUGAGGUAACGGCUCACCAAGACGAUGACGGGUAGCUGAUCUGAGAGGAUGAUCAGCCAGAAUGGAACUGCGACACGGUCCAU